AGGACGAACGCUGGCGGCGUGCUUAACACAUGCAAGUCACGGGGGCUCGCAAGAGCAACCGGCGAACGGGUGCGUAACACGUGAGCAACCUACCGAUUUGUGGGGGAUAGCCGGCCCAACGGCCGGGUAAUACCGCGUACGACCCUCGGGGGGCAUCCCCUGGAGGUGAAAGCCGCAAGGCGCCGAUGGAGAACUUCGCGGCCUAUCAGCUAGUUGGUGGGGUCAUGGCCUACCAAGGCGACGACGGGUAGCUGGUCCGAGAGGAUGACCAGCCACAUUGGGACUGAGACACGGCCCAGACUCCUACGGGAGCAGCAGUGGGGAAUAUUGCGCAAUGGGCGAAAGCCUGACGCAGCGACGCCGCGUGUGGGAUGACGGCCUUCGGGUGUAAACCACUGUCGCGAGGGACGAAGAUCUGACGGUACCUCGAAAGGAAGCACCGGCUAACUCUGUGCCAGCAGCCGC
rnacentral:rRNA from 1 species